rnacentral:ncRNA from 1 species
UGUCUUCGAGCCCCCCUUCCUAAUGCGCAAGCGAUGGAAUCGGGGCCGCGUCAAGCGAUUGACCUAGGGUUAUGCUGGAAACGGCGUGGCCUUCCUGUUUGAAAAGGAGA